rnacentral:tRNA from 1 species
GCUUGGCUGGCUCACUUGGUAGAGCGUGUGACUCUUGAUCUCGGACUUGUGAGUUCAAACCCCAUGUUGGGUG